AUAAAACAAUCGAUAGCAAUAAGCGACCACUAUCUUGAAGACCACCAUGGUGUGAAUGCCUGAUGAAAUCAAUAAUUAGCCGAUAAAUCGCUGAUAAGGUGUCAUAAACAACACUGGUACACACGAUAAGUAGAAUCGAAUUGUUAAUUGGAGGGCAAUAAAGGGAUUAGAGGUGUUAAGUGUUAGCGAAACAGAGCUUGAAUAGCGAAUUUUAUUGGGAACCGAUACACCUUACAUCGUUUUUUAGGAAUGUCGGGACAAAUCGUCUCAUGGCGGGACGGCGGGACAAAGGGCCCAAAAGCGGGACUGUUCCGCCGAGAUCGGGACGUAUGGCAUGUAUGCAUUUUGAUUAUUUACAAUUACACAACAUAUUUUUUUACCAAUUUAGCAGCCAGGAUAGCGUUGUAUCAAUGUAUAGCGAGCACCAGCUUUUUAAUUUGAAUUUUGGAGGUAAAACACUGUGCGCUAUACAUGAAAAACCUACGGUAAUUAGGUUACAAGAAAACUGUUGAUCUAACAAAAGUCUGGGCUUCACCAUGGUGAUGUUAGGUCAUUAGGCAUAUUUGAAUAAAUUUUAAUGAAGCAUAUAUUGUUAGCAUAAACAUGUGUGCUAACUAAUUAUCCCCCGCCAUAGGCGGAGGGAUAUUGUUUUGGCGUUGUCCGUCCGUCCUUCCAUCCGUCUUUCCGUCAGUCUGUCCGGAGCCAUAUCUUGGAAGUGCUCUGGCGGAUUUCAUUGAAACUUGGUAUGAGUGUAUAUAUGGAUAAGAGAAUGAUGCACGCCAAAUGGCAUUGUACACCAUCUGUUAAUAAAGGAGUUAUGGCCCUUUGUAUCUUGAAAAAAUGCUUUUUGUUUGUGUCCUGAGCCAUAUCUUGGAAGUGCUUUGGUGUAUUUCAUUGAAACUUGGUAUGGGUAUGUAUAUCAAUAAGAGGAAGAUGCAAGCCAAAUGGCAUUGUACACCAUCCGUUAAUAACAGAGUUAUUGCCCUUUGUAUCUUGAAAAAAUGCUUUUUUGAGUGUCAAAUAUAACACUUUUGUGUCCAGAAGCAUAUUGGCUGGGGAUAUCAACUCAACGAAUUUGCUUGUUUCAGUAGUUUCAGUAACUUUAUUCAUUACUUUGGCAUUUCCUGUACAUCUUGAUUUUCAGGAACAUGGCAAUAAUACAGUUUGAAUGUAAAUAAUAAAAUUUCCAACAAUUAAAAUAAGUAAUUUUAUUGAUGUAUAAUUUAUAAAUUAUGUAAAAUCAAGUUAUAACGUAAAUAAUAUAAUGUUGUGAUAAUUAAAUGCAUGUAAUGUUUACAGAUUUCUUAAGUGUUUGUUUAUUUCAAUGAAUGUUUCGCGUGUUCAUUGUCUUUUUUGUUUAACUACAAGAGGUAUUGUCACAAAUGUUAAGUUUAUAUUUUGUCACCAUCAAUGGCAAGCUCAACAUAUCACCAAUGUUGACAUUACAUGUGCUUUUACAAUGGCAUUAUCUAUGGUGUUACAUGAAAUGUCUGUGUUGUUUGUUCCUCAAUGUGUGAAUAUUACAUGUUGAAGAUUGAUUGGAAUUUCGGAAUUUCAUUUGAUAACAGUCCCUUUAACUUACAGGAGUCUAAUAACCGAUUUAGGCAUGUGUGAUUUGCAUACUAAUUUUUGCUAACCUGAGCACAAAUUACUUAAUUUGAGCUAUUAUUAUCGCCCUAUGUCCGGCGUUGUUCGCGUUAUCAAGUUUUAACUUGUUAUUGCACAAGGGGCCACAUUUUUUAUCCAGUCUUGAUAAAACUUCCUCAGACUGUUUAUCUUAAAAAUAUCAAGGACGAGGUCAAAUCUUGGUCAGGUGUGACAAUUAACAAGGUCACCAUGUCAUAUUUCAUAUACAAAAAACCUGUAAUAACUUCAUAGAGACUGCAUUUAUGAUUCAAUCUGGAUGAAACAUGGUCAAAAUGUUUAUCUAUACAAUAUCAAGUUCAAAUCUGGACGACAUGCAUUCUAAACUUAGGUCAUGUGGUCAAAUAUUAGAAAAACACUGUUGUCCCUUUAAAAGCUAGAUGUAUGACUCAUUCUUAUUGAAACUUGGUCAGAAUGUCUAUCUUGACCAUUUUUUGACCUGGUAUAAAUCUUGGCCACAUGCAUCAAGAAACUAAGUGACCAGGUCGAAUAUUGACAAAUUUGUCAUCCUCAAACUAAACACCAGGUCAAGUAUUCACCAUUGGUCAUCCUCAAACUAAGUGACCAGGUCAUGUAUUGACAAUUGGUCAUCCUCAAACUAAGUGACCAGGUCAAGUAUUGACCUUUAGUCAUCCACAAACUAAAUGACCAGGUCAGGUGUUGACCAUUGGUCAUCCACAAACUAAGUGACCAGGUCAAGUAUUGACGAUUGGUCAUCCACAAACUAAGUGACCAGGUCAAGUAUUGACAAUUGGUCAUCCUCAAACUAAGUGACCAGAUAAAGUAUUGACAAUUAGUCAUCCUUAAACCAAGUGACCAGGUCAAGUAUUGACAAUUGGUCAUCCUCAAACUAAGUGACCAUGUCAAGUAUUGACGAUUGGUCAUCCUCAAACUAAAUGACCAGGUCAAGUAUUGACCUUUGGUCAUCUACAAGCUAAGUGACCAGAUCAAGUAUUGAUAUUUGGUCAUCCUCAAACUAAGUGACCAGGUCAAGUAUUGACCAUUGGUCAUCCACAAACUAAGUGACCAGGUCAAGUAUUGACCAUUGGGCAUCCUAUAACUAAGUGACCAGGUAAAGUAUUGACAAUUGGUCAUCCUCAAACUAAGUGACCAGGUCGAGUAUUGACAAUUGGUCAUCCUCAAACUAAGUGACCAGGUCGAGUAUUGACAAUUGGUCAUCCUCAAACUAAGUGACCAGGUCGAGUAUUGACAAUUGGUCAUCCUCAAACUAAGUGACCAGGUCGAGUAUUGACAAUUGGUCAUCCUCAAACUAAGUUACCAGGUCAAGUAUUGACAAUUGGUCAUGCUCAAACUAAGUGACCAGGUCAAUAUCCUCAAACUCAGGUGAGCGUUUCAGGGCUAUGAUGGCCCUCUUGUUUUAUUUUUACUAAGUUAUUUAUAUUUACUUUGAAUUAUAGUUUAUUUUGUUAUUCAUGUUUGAUACUACCCAAAAAUUAUUUGUUUAUUCUUGGUUACAUUUUCCUCCAUGGUACUGUUUGAAUGAUUAAAUAUGUUAGAUAAUAUUCCUGCAAAAAGUGGUGUGAAUUAUUUUAUUUCAUGAUUUCCGUUGUUUAAUGUGGAAUAUCAGUGAUUUAAAACUAGGCAUUCAUUGAUUCAAAAUGGAAACAUUAACAUGAAAAUCCCAUAAUUGUCUAACCAAAACAAAUAAAUGGUAUAUUUGUUUAUAUAUUUUUUCUUAUAUUUUCUUAUAUUUGCUUUCAGAUUCUAAACUCGCAAAUUUAAUGUUGCCAUUUUUCUGUCAGUUUUUUAUGUGGCUUUACCAUUUGGAAACAAGAAUACAAUUAUUAAAUGAAAAAAAGAAUAACAAAAAGAACUUCAGGUUCCCUUGCAAGAAAAUUAUAAUCAGUGAGGUUAUUAAAAAUUAUAAUCAGGUUAUUUAAUCUUAUAAUCAGUAGGGUUUUUAAGUGAAAGACAACUACUCACCUGUAUUCAACGUAAAUGAUGUCAAAUCAUAUUUAAAAGUUGAAAAAAAUGCAAUUUAACUCAUUAUUUCGGCACUUAAGGGAAGUAACUGCUACUCUUAUUUAUUGUGUCCCUUUAUUAGAUUUAUUACGUCCCUUAAAUUCAUAAAUGUAUACCGUUUUAAGAGUUCCGCUUUCUAUUCUGCUCUUUGGCAUAUUUUUUAUUUAAGAAUAACUAUUUAUCCCUUGUAUGGUAUUAUUUUUUACAAGAAUCUUCAGAAAAUUAUCUUAUAAAAAAAACUGUAUAAAUCAAACAUGAUGCACUAUUUAGUCGGUUCAAUCCCCGUUUAAGCCAAUGGCUUAACCGGUUAGCAUGAAAUCUUUGAAAGCGGAUUUGGAAUCCGUUUAUUGACUGCAUAAUUUGAGCAUCGGGUUCAAGAAACUGUAUCAAAUGCAUAUGCAUGAGUGACGUACCAGAUUUGCCCUUGCUUUCCGCACAUUUUAAGCAUAGACGACACUUUUCGGCUAGAGAUUUUGUUUUAAAAAAGAUAUUCUUUUAAAGAAAAAUUACAUCCAAUCAAAAAUUGUCAUCCUGAUUUGACUUCGGGGACUGCACAGGCUAAAUUGGGACGACACUUUCCGUACACGCAUUAAGUCCAGUUUCCAAGAACAGGGUUUAAAAUAAGGUUGUAAUAGUAAUAUGUUAUGUUAUUUACUUGUUAUAUAUUGUCGUAGUCCGUAUGUUAUGCACAUGUCUACAUGACACUUUUUAUGUACUUAACAAUGGCAGUAUUGGUUACAUGACAACGAAAAUAGAUCUAAUCCGGUACACCGAUACAAACAGUGAACUCGUGUAUAUUUUUAUGCCUCCGGAUCGAAAUUAUAAUUUUAAUUGGGAAAAAAUGGUCGGAAGUAAACAAAAAGUGCUAUUCAUGUUGUAUAAAUACCAAUAAUUUUAAAAAAGUAUUCACUUUUAGACGGUAUGUCAGUGUUAAUUAGUCUACUCAAAUUGUUUGACUGUAUUGAAUAACUAUGCAUGUACCUUUAUUCUGUGCAAUAGAUUCUGUGCAAAAAGUGUAUGGGUAAUGAGAAUGCCAGAACUGUAGUAGUUGAAAAUGUGAAAAACUACAAUAUUUAACAAAAAUUGUCAAUACCUCGAAGAAAACUUGAAAUGUGCUUUGCACAGUUGUAAUCACCAGCUUAUGUGUGUUUUAGAAACCUGUGACUGUUGAUUGAUUGCCAGUCAUGAAUGUAGCGCUUGCGUUGCAAUUAUAGUCCUAUUGCGUCUAUGCAUUACCGGUACUUGAGUAAAAAUCAUGUAUAUAUAUGGUGUAGUACAUGUACUUUUUGCCAUCAUUUAGUUACAUAUAGCGGGGAGAGUUUUUAUUUUAUUUUUGCACAUUUACUCGACUGUAGCGCUUUAAUUAGAAUAUAUUAUCUAGAAAUAUUGAACUGAUUCUGUUCUGGUCUUAGGUAAUGAACGUAUGAAACACCUUUUUAUGUCCCCCACCACUAUAGUGGGGGACGUAUUGUUUUUGCCCUGUCUGUUGGUCUGUAAGUUGGUCUGUUGGUUUGGUCAAACUUGAACAUUUGCCAUAACUUUUGCAAUAUUGAAGAUAGCAACUUCAUAUUUGGCAUGCAUGUGUAUCUCAUGGAGCUGCACAUUUUGAGUAGUGAAAGGUCAAGGUCAUCGUUCAAGGUCAAAGGUCAAAUAUAUGGGUCAAUAUCGCUCAUUUAAUGUUCACUUUUGCAGUAUUGAAGCAAGCAAUUUGAUAUUUGGCAUGCAUGUGUAUCUCAUAUAUAUGGGGACAUAGUGUUUCACAAACACAUCGCAUGUUUUAUUUUGUUUCUUACUAAUAUUUUAGCAUCAAUGAACUUUGAAUUUGUAUAUUAAUCAUAAAAUAGUUAAAUAACUUGUUAUGUUACAUGUCAAACCGAAAAGGCGUUAAACUAUAUUUAGUGACUAUGUAAUUUAAAUUGUUGUCCGGUUAAAUUGGUUCGUAUGUUACCUAAAUAUUUGAAGAUUGUAACGUAAAAUUGUAUCUGCCCAUUCUGGGUAAAAUGCACUAUGAAUGUAAACACACACAUAUUAACUGUAGAUCUGUACUUAAUUACAUGUAAUGCACUUAAUAUUCUAUAUAAUAUAUUAAUCUGAAAAUAAAUAUAUCGGAACUCAUCAUCUGAAGUAAUGAUCUGAUAUUGGUGCAUAAUCUGUUUUUAGACCAAUUAAAACAUAAUGAUUUUGCAAUAUUAUAGACACUUUCUUUUCUUAGAACCGUAAUCAAAUCAAAUCAAAUAUGUACCCAUACUUUCUUAACCUUAAUUCUAGAUGUGUGUGUUAUGCUUUCCGCUUUAGAACGGGAAUUGUUUAGUUGCAUUAUACAUUGUGGCUCUAUUCUCAUCAGUUAUAGUUGAUUGUAUCAAUAGAAAUGAACUUGAACUGUUAAAGUUGAAAUUUGUUUAUUUGUUAUUUAUUCUUUACAAUGUUUAGUUAAAUGCGUGUAUUUCACAUUAUCAAUAAACCAGCUUACAUAAAAUACAACA